rnacentral:lncRNA from 1 species
GCCCUAGACUGAUUACUUCAGAUCCGCUUUUACUAGAUUUGAAAUAAAAGAUUUUCUCAAAUGUCCAGGGGCAAAGAAAUCUUUGGUUGUGUGUUGUAAAUAUGACAGUCUUCUUUUGGUUUUUAUUGACAUCAUACAAGACUAAAUCUCUUAAGCAGUCAAUCAUGGACGGAUGCAUUCCCUUUCCUGGUUCGUCAAUAAGUAGAGUCGUUGUUCGUGUGUUAGAUAACGUAAUAGACAUGAUUUUUGCCUCUAAGAUACCUUCCGGAGUUUUGAGUAUCGGAAAUGGUGUAUCAUCGUUGUUGCACGUUACAAGAAUUUCUAUUUUAUCUGUAUUAUCUUUGAACUCAAAAUUGUAUGAUUGGGGUUGUGUCAGCCAUCUGAAGUAAUUUGAUUCA